rnacentral:rRNA from 1 species
GAUGAACGCUGGCGGCGUGCCUAAUACAUGCAAGUCGAGCGAACAGACGAGGAGCUUGCUCCUCUGACGUUAGCGGCGGACGGGUGAGUAACACGUGGAUAACCUACCUAUAAGACUGGGAUAACUUCGGGAAACCGGAGCUAAUACCGGAUAACAUGUUGAACCGCAUGGUUCAACAGUGAAAGACGGUCUUGCUGUCACUUAUAGAUGGAUCCGCGCCGCAUUAGCUAGUUGGUAAGGUAACGGCUUACCAAGGCAACGAUGCGUAGCCGACCUGAGAGGGUGAUCGGCCACACUGGAACUGAGACACGGUCCAGACUCCUACGGGAGGCAGCAGUAGGGAAUCUUCCGCAAUGGGCGAAAGCCUGACGGAGCAACGCCGCGUGAGUGAAGAAGGUCUUCGGAUCGUAAAACUCUGUCAUUAGGGAAGAACAAAUGUGUAAGUAACUAUGCACGUCUUGACGGUACCUAAUCAGAAAGCCACGGCUAACUACGUG